AUUGAACGCUGGCGGCAUGCUUUACACAUGCAAGUCGAACGGUAACAGGCCGCAAGGUGCUGACGAGUGGCGAACGGGUGAGUAAUGCAUCGGAACGUGCCCAGUCGUGGGGGAUAACGCAGCGAAAGCUGCGCUAAUACCGCAUACGAUCUAUGGAUGAAAGCGGGGGACCGUAAGGCCUCGCGCGAUUGGAGCGGCCGAUGUCAGAUUAGGUAGUUGGGGGGGUAAAGGCUCACCAAGCCAACGAUCUGUAGCUGGUCUGAGAGGACGACCAGCCACACUGGGACUGAGACACGGCCCAGACUCCUACGGGAGGAAGCAGUGGGUAAUUUUGGACAAUGGGCGCAAGCCUGAUCCAGCAAUGCCGCGUGCAGGAAGAAGGCCUUCGGGUUGUAAACUGCUUUUGUACGGAACGAAACGGCUCUGGUUAAUACCUGGGGCUAAUGACGGUACCGUAAGAAUAAGCACCGGCUAACUACGUGCCAGCCGCCGCCGUAAUAC
rnacentral:rRNA from 1 species